AACGAACGCUGGCGGCAUGCCUAACACAUGCAAGUCGAGCGCGCCCUUCGGGGUGAGCGGCGGACGGGUGAGUAACGCGUGGGAACGUGCCCUUUUCUACGGAAUAGCCUCGGGAAACUGAGAGUAAUACCGUAUACGCCCUUUGGGGGAAAGAUUUAUCGGAAAAGGAUCGGCCCGCGUUGGAUUAGGUAGUUGGUGGGGUAAUGGCCUACCAAGCCGACGAUCCAUAGCUGGUUUGAGAGGAUGAUCAGCCACACUGGGACUGAGACACGGCCCAGACUCCUACGGGAGGCAGCAGUGGGGAAUCUUAGACAAUGGGGGCAACCCUGAUCUAGCCAUGCCGCGUGAGUGAUGAAGGCCUUAGGGUUGUAAAGCUCUUUCAGCUGGGAAGAUAAUGACGGUACCAGCAGAAGAAGCCCCGGCUAACUCCGUG
rnacentral:rRNA from 1 species